rnacentral:rRNA from 1 species
CAGUAGCCACGGUAAUACGGAGGGUGCGAGCGUUAAUCGGAAUUACUGGGCGUAAAGAGUGCGUAGGUGGUUAAUUAAGUUAUCUGUGAAAUUCCUGGGCUUAACCUGGGCAGGUCAGACAAUACUGGUUAACUCGAGUAUGGGAGAGGGUAGUGGAAUUUCCGGUGUAGCGGUGAAAUGCGUAGAGAUCGGAAGGAACACCAGUGGCGAAAGCAGCCCCCUGGGCCAAUACUGACGCUCAUGCACGAAAGCGUGGGAGCAAACAGGAUUAGAUACCCGAGUAGUCCCUGUCUCUUAUACA